rnacentral:rRNA from 1 species
UAAGCGGAGGAAAAGAAACCAACAGGGAUUGCCUUAGUAGCGGCGAGUGAAGCGGCAAGAGCUCAAUUUUGAAAUCUGGUACCUUUGGUGCCCGAGUUGUAAUGUGAUCGAAGUAUUCUUGGGUGUGGCCCUUGUCUAUGUUCCUUGGAACAGGACGUCACAGAGGGUGAGAAUCCCGUCGAUGGGGUGUCCACGCCUAUGUAAGAUGCUUUUGAAGAGUCGAGUUGUUUGGGAAUGCAGCUCUAAGUGGGUGGUAAAUUCCAUCUAAAGCUAAAUAUUGGCGAGAGACCGAUAGCGAACAAGUACUGUGAAGGAAAGAUGAAAAGAACUUUGAAAAGAGAGUGAAAAAGUACGUGAAAUUGUUGGAAGGGAAGGGUAUUCGAUCAGACUGGUAAUUAGGCAUCAUGUUCUCUCGGGAGCGUGCUCUGACUUUUUAUUGGGCCAACAUCAGUUUUGGUGGCAAGAUAAUCGCAGUUGAAUGUGGCUUCUUCGGGAGUGUUAUAGCUUCUGCUGAUAUUGCCUACCGGGACUGAGGUCUGCGGCUUUGCCUAGGAUGUUGGCGUAAUGAUCUAAUACCGCCCGUCUU